GGGACUGUGGCCAAGUGGUAAGGUGUCCGCUUUGGGUGCGGAAGAUCCCGGGUUCGAUCCCCGGCUGUCCCC